rnacentral:pre_miRNA from 1 species
AGCUUCCUACCAAAGAGGUAGGUCCCAGAACUGCAGGGAACUUAGCAGUACUCGGACCUACCUCUUUGGU